AACGAACGCUGGCGGCAGGCCUAACACAUGCAAGUCGAACGCUGCAGCAAUGCAGAGUGGCAGACGGGUGAGUAACGCGUGGGAACCUUCCCAAUGGUACGGAAUAGCCCAGGGAAACUUGGGGUAAUACCGUAUAAGCCCCAUGGGGGAAAGAUUUAUCGCCAUUGGAUGGGCCCGCGUCGGAUUAGCUAGUUGGUGAGGUAACGGCUAACCAAGGCGAGGAUCCGUAGCUGGUUUGAGAGAAUGACCAGCCACACUGGGACUGAGACACGGCCAGGACUCAUACGGGGGGAAGCAGUGGGGAAUCUUGGACAAUGGGCGAAAGCCUGAUCCAGCCAUGCCGCGUGAGUGACGAAGGCCUUAGGGUUGUAAAGCUCUUUUGGCGGGGACGAUAAUGACGGUACCCGCAGAAUAAGUCCCGGCUAACUUCGUGCCAGCCGCCGCGGUAA
rnacentral:rRNA from 1 species